rnacentral:rRNA from 1 species
AUUGAACGCUGGCGGCAGGCCUAACACAUGCAAGUCGAGCGGAGCGGCGGACGGGGAAGUAAUGACUAGGAAUCUGCCUGGGAUUGGGGGAUCACGUCAGGAAACGGGCGCUAAUACCGCAUACUAUCAGAUGAGCCUAGGACGGAUUGGCUAGUUGGUGGGGUAAAGGCAUACCAAGGCGACGAUCCGUAACUGGUCUGAGAGGAUGAUCAGUCACACUGGAACUGAGACACGGUCCAGACUCCUACGGGAGGCAGCAGUGGGGAAUAUUGGACAAUGGGCGAAAGCCUGAUCCAGCCAGGCCGCGUGUGUGAAGAAGGUCUUCGGAUUGUAAAGCACUUUAAGUUGGGAGGCGUUACCAACAGAAUAAGCACCGGCUAACUUCGUGCCAGCAGCCGCGGUAAUUC